GUGGAGUCAGACUGGACCUUCAACGUCUGCAAGUACAUUGGGAUCGAGCCAAAGGGCGGGGACACAUUCAGCUGUCGGGCAGCACACGUCAGCCUUGAAGAAGGGCUGAGGUGCUCACUAGAUCUGCCUCCUCCUGUGCCCACAUCCGGGAUUAUUGUCUGUGCAGUCGGAGUCAUAGUGGGAGUUAUCGGGUUGCUGGUAACACUGUACCUGGGCAGAGCGUUGCACAAAAGGCGGGGAGGAGUUUGCCCGGGGAGAUUCUGCAGUAAGUAACCUCCUGACAGGUGGAGACAACCCAGGGGAAGGGAAGUUUCUAAACACUGUCACCUGCACCUGGGAGGGUGAGAAUUAAUGAUGUGAAAAGAAAAUGCAAAAUUGAAACUGUUUUUAUAUUGUCCAAGUAAAAUAAAAUGGAAAGUGAGCACGGAUCAUCAGCUAAACACCAGUUUGGAAUGAAGAUGUAUAAAAUUCAUAAACUCAG